rnacentral:misc_RNA from 1 species
ACACAGUCGAAAAAUAAGCGUAAUCAAAGCAACAUGUCUAUCAAAUCCCUGCCUAUUCUGCUCGCUCUGCUGGCAGUUCUUCUGGUGGCACAGAAUGUGUCAUGUGAAGAAGAAAAUAGUCCAUCUGAUACUCAAUUUGUAGAAAGCCCCGACACAGACCCAGCAGAUAUCAGCGCAAGCAGAGAUUCCAUUGAUUUCCCCACUGGAAGAGCACGCUGCAAUAAUCAAGCGUGUAAUACUACCUGUAGAAGACGCGGCUUCAGAUUUGGCAGAUGUUCAGGUACAAGGUGCUUGUGCUGGAUUUAACUGCUGAGACUCAGACUUGUUUUUCUUUAUAAUCUUCAUGUUAAAAUUGGUAAAAGUUUAUGGCAUAUUAUGUGAAUUAGAUAUACAUAUAUAUUAUCAAACAAACGUAAAUAAAUAAAUGUAUU